GUCGCACGAGAAAGUUCCCUUCGGGGGAUGAGUAAAGUGGCGAACGGGUGAGUAACACGUAGGUAACCUGCCUCUAAGACUGGGAUAACCUGUCGAAAGAUGGACUAAUACCAGAUAAGACCACGGAACCCUCGGUUUCUAGGGUCAAAGGAUGGCCUCUGCAUGCAAGCUGUCGCUUAGAGAUGGGCCUGCGGCCGAUUAGCUAGUUGGUAGGGUAAUGGCCUACCAAGGCGAAGAUCGGUAGCUGGUCUGAGAGGAUGGUCAGCCACACUGGGAUUGAGAUACGGCCCAGACUCCUACGGGAGGCAGCAGUGGGGAAUCUUGGGCAAUGGGCGAAAGCCUGACCCAGCAACGCCGCGUGGGUGAUGAAGGCCUUCGGGUCGUAAAGCCCUGUCGGGAGGAAAGAAUUUUCCUAGGGUUAAUACCCCUAGGACGUGACGGUACCUCCAAAGGAAGCACCGGCUAACUCCGUGCCAGCAGCCGCGGUAAAACGGAGGGUGCUAGCGUUGUUCGGAAUCACUGGGCGUAAAGCGCGCGUAGGCGGUUUGUUAAGUCAUGCGUGAAAGCCCUCGGCUCACCCGAGGAAGUGCGCAUGAAAC
rnacentral:rRNA from 1 species